GGUCCUUGGGCAGUGGGUCUGCUGCCGGCAGGGUUGCCACCAAAUGGGCAACAGGAAAGGGAAUCAUCCCUUAGGAAGUUCUGCAGGGUUAUGUGACCUUCCAGAGCAGAUGGGGGCCAUAGGGAGCUGCGGGGGUGUGGGAAAUCAUGAAAAUUGCCUCCAUCAUUCUGCCAGUGGAAUUCAUUCAGGAUCUGAAUGAUGGAAGAAGUCCUUCCAUUUGUAGGAGGCAAAGUCUGGAUCCAACCUGGUGAAGCUAACAUGCUAGUCACAUCUUGAGGAGGACAUUUAGUGAUCCCACUGAAGAUAUCAAAAACAGUGAAAGAGAUGUGAAAGAAAAAAUCAUUUUUAAUCCAUUCCAGUUGCUUAUAUUAUGAAUUUCAUUACAGCCAAUUCCAUUAUAAGAAUCCAUUCUCUCAAUAUAGCCAAUAAUUUGAAAGUUCAGCUAGAUUUAAUAAUUCAUUCAGUAAAAUGCAUCAGUUUUCCACAACACAGUAUAACAAUUAUGGGAUGAGAUGCCAUGAGAGACAAAUUUAAACUUGUGUGCCCAAGGAUUUUUCUAAACAUGACAUUUUUCAUAUCUCUGCAUUCUAUAAACUCCCAUACUAAAAGAAUUCACAAAUAACUAAUAGCAGAGACAGUCAAUUUAGAAGCAUAUAUGGAUGCAUCCAGUGCACUAUGUUAGUUCAGGUUCUGCUAAGCUAAACAACAGUUACAACUAUACUAUUGGGUUCAGAAAAGUGCCAUUCUGAUGGUAGCAUCUAUGUAUUUAGAUAUGGGGUGGGUUAAGGUAUUUUCCAGGACAGGAAAUUUUCUUGAAUUCUACUGCUGCUUUUCCAUUUUAGCUGAAGAAUUCUGUUUUAUUGUAAUAUGAUCUGUUUUUAAAUACAUAUUUUGUAUUUUCUUAUAUUUGUUUAA